rnacentral:piRNA from 1 species
UAAUGUCUGAACACAGAUGUAAGUGCACAUU